rnacentral:rRNA from 1 species
UACGAAGGGGGCUAGCGUUGCUCGGAAUCACUGGGCGUAAAGCGCACGUAGGCGGAUUGUUAAGUCAGGGGUGAAAUCCUGGAGCUCAACUCCAGAACUGCCUUUGAUACUGGCGAUCUCGAGUCCGGGAGAGGUGAGUGGAACUGCGAGUGUAGAGGUGAAAUUCGUAGAUAUUCGCAAGAACACCAGUGGCGAAGGCGGCUCACUGGCCCGUUACUGACGCUGAGGCACGAAAGCGUGGGGAGCGAACAGG